AAUCGGUAUUAUGUAAAAAUGGUCUGUAAAUACAGCAUGUUUCCUAGCGGAGUUAUACAUAUCAAUGUAGUUAUAAAUUACAGUUUGUGAAAGUACACACUUAAUUUUUUUAAUAAAAUUAUUCAAGACAUAUGAGUGGACAGACAAUGGAGGUCGACAGACCUGGUGAUAAUUGCUUCUAUAGAAAGUUAGCACAUGGCAGUGUCAAUCUCUUGCUUUUCUUCUGAGUAGUAUUUUAUUUAGUUGUAAUUCAAACAAUAAUUUGCUUCUUGAAAUUAAGUAAUGAAUUUCUUGUUUUACUUUAUAAAUCUCAGAUCCUGCCUUUACCUGCUCCCUCCUAUACUGAUGUGGUGUAUGUGGUAUUGCUGAGCUUGUAUGUGGUAUGUGAACUGUUAUACUUUUAAAAACAAAACUGUUUUAUAAGUUAAGUUUUCUUUUGUGACCCAUCCCAUGCCCCUGUUAUUUCUUCUCCACAUCUGAACCAUGGUAAAGGUUGCAGUUCAAGGGCCUGAGGCAUGAAAUUCUUUUCAGAUCAGCUGUGAUCAAUAUUUUUUGGAACUUGAUAAAUAACAAUAAAAGCUGUAAUGGCUCCAUUAGCAUUUUGUGUAAAUGUUUGUGUUAAAAUUAUAGCUUUAAUGAGGUCUUUCUACAUUAGUUUUAGUUAUAAAGUAUGUAUAUGUGUACAUAUAGUAUGUAUAUUUACAGUACAGUAUGUUGUGUUUGUUGACAUGUUUUCAGGUGGAAGCAGAAUUUGUGAGGAUUACUACUGCUGCACAUGUUCCAAGGCUUUUUACACAACUUGACCAAUACACUGACCAGCUCAUAAAAGUCUUCAAGAAAAAAGGAGGCGUUGCAGGGAAGAAAAUUAGACAAACUUUGGCCCCAGCCACACAGAAGGAAACUAUUGAAAAGGGGAGGGAGUGUGUCCUCAGGGCACUACCUUUUUACCUGAAUGAAGACCCAAGCAUCCUCUUCAAAGAAUAAUUGCUACAGCUGUUCAGAGGGAGCUGGAACAAAUUACCCUUGCUAUCUUUACCAUCGAAAGAGCUGAUGCCAGCACUCCUCCAGCCGAUGUGGGUAUAACCAUCUAGUGUGUCCUGCAUGACCUGGAAGACCUGGCCUCUGCAUGUGCACUCUUAAUGGGUGGGAUAUAUGCACUGAAUCUCAGUUAACCUCAAGACUGAAAGCUUUCUUUGAAGUACUUCAGAAGCUCUUCCUUCAUCUGUAUGUCAGCAGACUCUUGACCAAGGUACAGUUGCUCAAGAAUACACUGAAUGAAUAAGCCAACCUUUAAUUUGGAUGAUGAAUGUUCUGUCAGAUGGACAGAAGUUUUUCGGAGGCUGAAUGGGAAUAAAAUGGUAAUUUGUAAAUGACAGAUAACGGGAAAAUUACAUUUAAGAGAAAUUUAGAACAUUUUGAAAAGUUUGUAAACUACUACAAUUUGAGAGAUUUUACUGUUGGG